GACGAACGCUGACGGCGUGCUUAACACAUGCAAGUCGAAGGGAGUGGCGAACGGGUGAGUAACACGUGAGUAACCUGCCCUUUUCUUUGGGAUACGCCUGGGAAACUGGGUCUAAUCCUGGAUGGAUUGGGAUGGGCUCGCGGCUUGUCGGCUUGUUGGUGGGGUAAUGGCGUACCAAGGCUUUGAUGGGUAGCCGGCCUGAGAGGGUGGUCGGUAACAGUGAGACUGAGAAAACGCCCAGGCUAGUACGGGGGGGGGCAGUGUGGGAUAUUGCAGAAAGUACGAAGGACUGAUGCAGCGACGACGAGUGAGGGAUGCGGGCCGUAGGGUUGUAUACUCCUUUCGCACGUGGAAUGGUAGUGGGUAAAGAAGCGCCGGCUAACUACGUGCCAGCAGCCGCGGUAAUAC
rnacentral:rRNA from 1 species